UUGUUAUUUGUGGGUCCUCUUCAAGUCCCGUGUUUGGUUUAAUUAUUAAGUACAGAGGAGUUAGUUUCGGUUCGUGAUUUCGGUUCAUGUCUUAUGACUUUCUUUUUAUUUAUGUGGGAUCCACAAAAAAAUUCAACAAUUUUUUUUCGUGUCCUUUAGAAUAACCAGCUAACCACUUAGAAAGCCCACUGAUUUUUUUGAUAUAUAUACCCAAGUGAAAUAGCCUAAUCCAAUUCACUGAUCUCUCUUCCUCUUCCUCUGGUUGCUUGCUGCCCCCGCAUGCGCCCUUUCACUGCUCAUAUCAUUGCGCUCUCCAUUAUUAAUUUUCCCAUAACUUCGACAACCCAAGCGUUUCGUAACCGAAAGAGGGAGACCACUAUGAAUAGUAGAGGGCCCAGCAAGGAGACCAACAUCUGAUCUCCUCCCCGCAAGUUAUCAGUGUCUGCGGCUCGCGAUGCUCUCGCUUCCCCAGCUGUGGUUCACCACGCUACUUUUGAUGAUCUUCGUCAUAGAUGUUUGGGUGGUACUGCUCUGUAUUAACACAUUGCAUGCAAGGCAAGGGAAUCUUAUGGUUUCCAACCAGUCUGAAUGUUUCUUUGAAGAGACUAGAGAGGUUGAAGCUUCUCUCCGAUGAGGAGAAGGACCUACACUCCGUCACCACCAAGCGGUUUGGGAGGAGGAAUCAAAGCCCAAGCCCUAAAUGAGGUAAAUAUGGAGGUCGUAGCAGGGGCUUCCUGACAAGCGUUUUGUUUUGCAAUCUAAGCUAUGCUUGCAGGUUUUUGUCAUAUCUUUAACUCCCUUCACCCAUUUUCUUUAGGACGCCAUUAUGUUUUGGAUACCUUUAAACAUAGUUUAGCAUAAGGUUCUCUUAUAUGUUGAAAGUUUUUCAGAAAGUUAAUGUAUAUCUGUCCUCGAUAUGCUUGGUUUGAUGAGUGUUUGUUUUAUGAUAAAAGAAAUCUGAGGGAAAGAUAUGAGAUGGGAUUUUUUUGGUCAUCUAAAUUAUUAUUGAAGCUUCAAGGGCUGAUCUAAGCAAAGCUUAAAAAAAUGAAGCAAAGCCGGCGAAAUAGCAAUAUGGAAAUUGUAGUUUUGGCUUCUAUUGAAAUUGUAGUUCAUAUUAUAGUUGACUAUAACUUCAGUGUUUAAUAUACUUUUUCAUUUUCUGGCAUUUGGCAAA